ensembl:lncRNA
CUUAGUCUUUCAUGUCUGCCUGAUCCCAGAGCGUCACAGCUUUAGCCGUUUUGCUGUGUUUGCUCUUUAAACAGGGUUUUACUGUGUAGCCCAGGGUGGCCCCCAACAGGAGUGAUCCAAUUUCCGUUCCUAUGUAGGUUGGCAGUAUCUGUGGAAGGAACAAAGCCCAACUCAGUUGAUGCAGAAUUCUACUGCCAGGAUCGAGGUGGAGGACGGAAUGCCAAUAGUCAACUAGGCCUGCUGUGAUGAUCCUGGGCCGAUUCAGUAGUCGGAGAUGGCAGUUGUCUGACCUAGAAGACAGUUGCGUUUGUGAGAGCGUGUGAAUGGACGCCAGAGAGCCAGGAUUAGGGGAUGAAGGCGUUUAGAUGGAAACCCAAGAUUGAGUCAAUAUUACGGAGAAGAUCCACCUCUUAGCAGCAUCCCAGGACACUUGGAUAGCCUGUCCUUGGUUCUCAGCUUUUAUCACCAACUGCGACCUCUUCUGUGGACAGGACAUACCCUGCAGUCUUAUCACUUUCUGAAAGGCAUGGAUUGCGCCCUGUUCCUGAAGUUCUGAAGUUAUCGCUACAGCUAACCGGUUUGUCCUUCGCUUUCUGCUGAGAAAGCAUGCCCUGCGUGAAAUGAUGCAGUUUAAAUAAACUAAGUUUCCC